rnacentral:lncRNA from 1 species
UCAGACCGAGGUGAACCGUCGUCGUCGAUGGUGGAGCCGGCGUGGGAGCACGGCGGCAGUGCCAUGCUGGAACCGUAAAAUUGGCCGAAAAAGAUUUUCUACACCAAUUUUGGGUUUUUAAGGAAUUUUUGGAAACGUGACAAGUAUUUUAAUUUCUACAUGAAAAAUUCAGAAAAUCCAAGACUUGUCAGGGGGCAUAGUGGGUAGCAUAGUAUUUUGAAACACCAAUCCGGAUAAAAAUCUCUCACCAUUUCAUGUUACGAUAAAUAGAGGUUUAAUAAAUUGGUAAUCUU